UCCAGUCAUUAACGAGGAGAUGUUGAUUAUCUUCCAGUUAUAUCAAUUGAUUAGGCGUGACUUCGCGAGAUCUCGUGCGUCCUCGGGACUCUGCUGUCCGCAACAGCUCCGACACAGACGGAUCCGGUGGGUGUUGAUGGACUGCGUAGAUACGCAGCCGUUGCGGACAGACCCCUGUCGGAGUCCUUACGCAUCCAGUGGAAUCCAGGCGUAUGGCCUAAAAUAUAUGAAAGCUCCCUCAAAUAUAUGUCCCAGUUCUGAAGGUAUAACGGUAUGCAGGCAGUCCAUCAGAGCUCUCGUGUGCUCCUGUGGUAUCUGUAAGAUGCUGGAUGUCUGUGGAUGUCUGCCUGCACAUUCAUGACUUCUGCAGAGCGCAGAUCCUCAAAGCCUUUUACAGCACAGGAGAAGCUUUCAGGAGAAGACUUGAGAACUACUAACUUUUUGUCCUGUCCAAAUAAAACUCUGCUCUUAUACCAAAUGAAGGCAGUUAGAGGACAACUGGUGUCACAGCUCAGUGUGACAUGGUGUGAUCUGGUGUGAGGACUCCUUUGAACAUGUACUUCUGUUGAAAGAUGACGAUGAUGACGAUACUUGUAUAUA